rnacentral:rRNA from 1 species
UACGAAGGGGGCUAGCGUUGCUCGGAAUCACUGGGCGUAAAGGGCGCGUAGGCGGACUCUUAAGUCGGGGGUGAAAGCCCAGGGCUCAACCCUGGAAUUGCCUUCGAUACUGAGAGUCUUGAGUUCGGAAGAGGUUGGUGGAACUGCGAGUGUAGAGGUGAAAUUCGUAGAUAUUCGCAAGAACACCAGUGGCGAAGGCGGCCAACUGGUCCGAUACUGACGCUGAGGCGCGAAAGCGUGGGGAGCAAACAGGAUUAGAUACCCCCGUAGUCC